GGGGGCGGGGGAGUCGGCCUCGCCAGUGCGCAUGCGCGAGGCCCAAGCCGCCGCUUGGGUCACAGUGAAAGCCACCGUUGCCCGGGGAUGGGUCCCUGACACUUGGCGAAGUAGGAGCCCUGUGUGAUCGUGCGUCUGAGUCUGGGCUGAGACCAGUCCUGGUCAGGGCAGUUACCAGGACGGUUUCCGGAGGCCGGGAUUCGCGGAGGGUCCACCAGCAGGAAGAAACGCCAGGAGGAAGAAAACUCAGACAGAUCGCCGGCGAGGCAGCGCGGCAUCCCAGCCUCAGGCGUGCGCGGACGGUGUGCGGGAGGGUGCCCGCAGAGCUUCAAGAAGGU
rnacentral:lncRNA from 1 species